CAGUAGCCGCGGGAAUGCGUAGGUGGCAAGCGUUGUCCGGAAUUAUUGGGCGUAAGGGCUCGCAGGCGGUUUCUUAAGUCUGAUGUGAAAGCCCCCGGCUCAACCGGGGAGGGUCAUUGGAAACUGGGAAACUUGAGUGCAGAAGAGGAGAGUGGAAUUCCACGUGUAGCGGUGAAAUGCGUAGAGAUGUGGAGGAACACCAGUGGCGAAGGCGACUCUCUGGUCUGUAACUGACGCUGAGGAGCGAAAGCGUGGGGAGCGAACAGGAUUAGAUACCCCCGUAGUCCCUGUCUCUUAUACA
rnacentral:rRNA from 1 species